rnacentral:rRNA from 1 species
AUUGAACGCUGGCGGCAUGCCUUACACAUGCAAGUCGAACGGUAACAGGUCUUCGGAUGCUGACGAGUGGCGAACGGGUGAGUAAUACAUCGGAACGUGCCCGAUCGUGGGGGAUAACGAAGCGAAAGCUUUGCUAAUACCGCAUACGAUCUACGGAUGAAAGCAGGGGACCGCAAGGCCUUGCGCGAACGGAGCGGCCGAUGGCAGAUUAGGUAGUUGGUGGGAUAAAAGCUUACCAAGCCGACGAUCUGUAGCUGGUCUGAGAGGACGACCAGCCACACGGGGACUGAGACACGGCCCAGACUCCUACGGGAGGCAGCAGUGGGGAAUUUUGGACAAUGGGCGAAAGCCUGAUCCAGCCAUGCCGCGUGCAGGAUGAAGGCCUUCGGGUUGUAAACUGCUUUUGUACGGAACGAAAAGACUCUGGUUAAUACCUGGGGUCCAUGACGGUACCGUAAGAAUAAGCACCGGCUAACUACGUG